rnacentral:rRNA from 1 species
UACGUAGGGGGCAAGCGCUAUCCGGAUUUACUGGGUGUAAAGGGAGCGUAGACGGAAUUGCAAGUCUGAUGUGAAAAUCCGGGGCCCAACCCCGGAACUGCAUUGGAAACUGUAUUUCUAGAGUGUCGGAGAGGCAAGUGGAAUUCCUGGUGUAGCGGUGAAAUGCGUAGAUAUCAGGAGGAACACCAGUGGCGAAGGCGGCUUGCUGGACGAUGACUGACGUUGAGGCUCGAAAGCGUGGGGAGCAAACAGG